GCGCUUGUGGCUCAACUGGAUAGAGCAACGGCCUUCUAAGCCGUAGGUUGCAGGUUCGAGUCCUGCCGGGCGCG
rnacentral:tRNA from 1 species